rnacentral:rRNA from 1 species
UACGAAGGGGGCUAGCGUUGUUCGGAUUUACUGGGCGUAAAGCGCACGUAGGCGGAUUGUUAAGUCAGGGGUGAAAUCCUGGAGCUCAACUCCAGAACUGCCUUUGAUACUGGCGAUCUUGAGUCCGGGAGAGGUGAGUGGAAUUCCUAGUGUAGAGGUGAAAUUCGUAGAUAUUCGCAAGAACACCAGUGGCGAAGGCGGCUCACUGGCCCCGAUACUGACGCUGAGGCACGAAAGCGUGGGGAGCAAACAGG